AACCUGGUUGAUCCUGCCAGUAGUCAUAUGCUUGUCUCAAAGACUAAGCCAUGCAUGUCUAAGUAUAAAUGCUACACAGUGAAACUGCGAAUGGCUCAUUAAAACAGUUAUAGUUUAUUUGAUAAUCGAAUUUACAUGGAUAACCGUGGUAAUUCUAGAGCUAAUACAUGCUGGUGAGCCCGACUCUUUGGAAGGGCGGUAUUUAUUAGAUAACAAGCCCAAUAUUGCUUUGCUCUAUUGUGGUGACUCAUAAUAACUGAUCGAAUCGCAAAGCCUUUGGCUGCGAUACAUCAUUCAAGUUUCUGCCCCAUCAGCUUCCGUUGGUAGUGUAUUGGACUACCAUGGCGUUCACGGGUAACGGAGGAUUAGGGUUCGAUUCCGGA
rnacentral:rRNA from 1 species